CAUGGGUGCAUCAUGAGGUAUCUCCUCUGCUGAAACUGUUAGCCCAUCAAUUUAGGUGGAUCAUACACUUGGGGAAGGUCCUGCACUGAGUGGCCGAUGAGAAGGAAACUACUAGCUGACUGACAAAAUGUAAAGCUGAAGAUGGUUUGGCUGGUUAAGCAGAAGAAAACAAAGAUGAAUAAACUUCACAAAACCAAAAGACUUUUUCCUAGCACUAAGGAUGUUCGUUUCAGUACUUUGUUAAGAGGGCGUAACAGAUUGGAGCACUAUAGAUGUCGCCCAAUAAUCGCCACGUUUGAAAGUUUACUUGAAGGAUCUACUUAAGGAUUGCAUACUCUGGGUGAUACCCAUUUUAGUGGUUUUCCAUACGGUACUCCUGUGAAGUAUCUGAGCUUGUGGCGUUGAGGUGCUGGAUUUGAUGUGGGGAAGCAGAUUUAGGAGUAUUAAUUCCUUAAGUUCCUCCAGAAGGAAGAACCUUGCUAGACAAUCAAGAACUGAUAGUUCAGCAGAUAACCGAGAAGGUCUGAGAAAUAGUCGAAGUGGGGAUUUUUCCUCUGAUGUUGAGAUUGUGCAAUCUCAUGGCAGCAAUCUCUGCAGAAGCGCAAGAGUUAAGGAAGCAGGACAGCGGAGGCUGUGAGUCCUAUUGACCUAAUGAUGGACUUCCGGUUCAGUUUGAAGAUCUCUUCCUUACCUGUUCAGGGAAGGUUGAUUCUUGACCAUCAUAUCAUGAUAGGAGCCGUAUCUGGCCUGUUGGUUACAGAUCUAGUUGGCAUGAUAAGGUAACCGGAUCUCUUUUUAUACUGGAUCGGCGGAAGCUCUGGACCAAUCUUCAAGGUCAGACUAUGCUUGCCUCUGCAAUCAGUCAUACCUGAUGCAUCAAAUAGUCCUACUGAGACAAAUUGAAUUCUUGGUCAGUCCGAAGCUGAAAUCUAAGUAGAAAGUGAAUUUGUCAUUUUGUCAGAAGCUAGUGAUUUCGAGGACGCCAACAUUCAGGAUGAAGUUGUUGGAUUUUUUGCUGAAGGAAGGUCAUCAUCUUCGGUGUUGGGUAAGGUCUCUGCGAUGUUUGUUGGUGUAUAAAAGUAAGUCAAACAAGACUCUGGCAAACACAUUCACAGGAAUCAAGUAAACAGCUAAAAUUUAGACAAAAAUCAAUGAAGUGUGGAUUCCCAGGGUGGUAAUCUUUUAAGAAUUCUUGCAGUGUUCAGUUCUAUCGUACCCAUGAGUCAGAUGGUAAUCUGUUACAGAUGCCAAGGACAGGAAUGGUAUUGGUUCCCUGUCCUCUUUUUAGGUUGCCUCAAUAAUAAAUGACCGUGUCUAAAUAGAGAGUCUGCCUUAGCCAAAUCCAUGCAGCUAAGCACGUGUCACAACGAAACGGAGAAAACUAGGUUAACAAAUUUAUAGUUUGGGGGGUCUUUCUGUUUAAAUAGUACUGCUGCAUUUGGUACAUUGGUUAUUGAGUUUUAAAAUGAUUACAAGAGUGAAUUUUCUUCCCAGGUAUAAGUAUUGUUUAUGCAUUUGAUUGGAAGAAAAAUGGAUUUCAUUUGUGGGAUUUGAGUAGUAAUUUAUACACGGUGUCUGCACUAAUAAGUUUUAGUGUACUAUAAGCUACGGUUGCGACUCAGUGAAAACUUAUUUUAGCAGAAAAUGAUAAUGUAUUUACUGGAUUCGUAAUCGUAAUGUUUUGAAUAUGGUUAGACAAUUGUGGUGGCUAAUUUAAUCUCAACCUUUUUAACUUACAGCAUCGGCUCUUUUUUAAGUUUGAUAUUCUUAUUUCAAAUAUUUUUGGUAGAAGUACUGUAUACCUAAAUUACUGUGUGUACUCAAUUGCUAUGUGAACUUGCCAACUUGGGUUGUGUACCGUGUGCUAAAUUGUGCAUCGAUCUCGAUUAACCUUGCUCAUUUUCUGUGUACUUAAGUGUAGUGCGUUUUUACUAUGGUUUAUGCCUAAUAUCCUUGCCAUCCCUUUUAGUUUAUAUUCAAGUAAUACCAAAUUGUAUCACUCAUCGGCUAAACUAGUGUUACUGUGCGUACUGCAUGAGCAAUGAUGGCGUUUCCAUGAGUGAGCUAAUUUAUUAACACUAUUUGGUUAUUUAGAGAUGUUAAGUUUGAAAUGAUCAUCUAUAGUUUCAAGGUAAAUAAUGCCCUCAACUAAGUGUUAGUCUGUAUUUAAUUUCAAGUUAGCUAGUCCAUGAAUGAUCGAGACACAUAUAUUCUUCUCUUAGGGUAGCUUUAGAGUUCAGAAGGAAUGUUCCGUUAGACAGAAAUGGGUAGAUAAAUUGGUACUGCUAAGUUAAGUACUAGAUUAUGAAUUUGGACAUCAUUAGUGGUAUUUGUGGAUCGAUAAUGCUUGUAUGAAAGUGAGCCAACUCGUCAUUAGUGGGAAAGACUGUUGGACUUACAGCAUACCGUCCUUUGCACUUAUGUUAAAAAUUCUGCAUUAGCAUGCUGCUGUGGUACCUCAUCUCUAUAAACUGUCUGUUUGUGGGAAUUGUAUUCAAGUUCUUUUAAAUGUUUUAAUAAGAAAAUGUCUCCAAGUGUUGUUAUUCAUUUGCUUUUGCUGGUAUCCAGUAUUAAGAACUGGUGAACAUUUUCUAGGGCCUUGUCGUGGCGACGACAAGUGAUCUAAUAUUCUUUGCUUCCAUCUGAUUGUCGUAAUUUGUUGAUAGGUGAAGCUUGUGAUUUUGCUUUCUGGCUUGAUGUGCUAUUUUCUGGACUUGUACCUUGGAGAUCUUAGAUCUCAUUUAUUUUCAUGUCUGCUAGUCUUGGUUACCUUGUGCGCUGACUUAGCAUCUUGGCUGCAUAAAUUGCGCUUGUUGAACAACAAAUAAAAAUGAUUGAUGUAGACAUGGCUAGUCUUGGUUACCUUGUAGUUAGGGUAGUAUUUCGGAAGAAAAGACGGAGAUCUCUGUUUUAGUACAAAGGAGUAGUAAUAGUAAUGGUUCCAAGCAGUAGCAUUCAUAUCUCACAGCGCCAAAGUAAGAUAAGGGUGGUUCACUGGUACUUAUUUGGUUUGCUUACAAAUAGUUUAGAAGUGAGUGCUAAAAUUUGUGCAAGAUAUUGAGAAAAGAGUAUUGUUGUGUUUUUGGCCUCAUCUUGAGAUUAAUGUUAUGAAGCAGGAAUUAUAAUAUCUGUAUCUGUAGCUGGUAGCUAAUUCUAGUUGGUUGGAUCAGCUAAGGACUACACAUCUGGAACUACAGUAAGACAGAAUUGCACAUGGCCAUAACCUGUCCAGUUCUGUAUUUUAUUUUCAAUACUUAAUUUAAACUUCAGUGAUAAGAUUUAAUGGCAUGACAUUUGAUUAUUCUUGCUGUUGCGUGAGACUUGAUUUUGCUCUAGCUAAUUCGGUGCUGCGAUAUCUCAUUUAUGAUACUGUUAGUGACGUGGCGAGUUGGGGAUAGUUGUUGCUAUGCAAUUCAUACUAUCCGCUGUUAGAUAUAGUUGCUACUAGAGGUAGUUCAUACUAUCUAAAUGAAUGAGAUGGACCGCGGUCGUGUUUAAUCCCUUCGAGCCACGGAGCAGGGUACAGAGGCAGCCGCUUUGCGGUUCAGUACAAUUCUGCAAGGUUGUUCAUAUCGUCGGAAAGGGGUUGGUUACUGCUUGGCAGUUCAUACCAUUUAUUCGGAGAUGAUUGCAACCUUCGCAAGUACAUAUCGUUGGUUAGAGGUAGUUUCAGUACUAUCUCUUCAUACUACAUAGUAAAGAAAUGAUUGUUGCCUCUCCUAGAUGAUUAUGAGGUAAUUCAUAUCAUCUGUCUCGACUUGUAAGUUAAGCAAUGAGGGGAUUCAUAUCAUCUGAGAAUAAAGGAUGGUUGCUGUUUAUGAUGAUAGUUCAUACGAUCGAUAUGGAAAUGAUUACCAACUCUUUUGAGUAGUUCAUAUCAUUUGAAAAAGAUGUUCUGUUGAGCUUGAGUGUGUAUUGUGAAUUGCCAGGCCCAACUGGGGCUCCCACCUACGGGUGCCUACCCGGAAGACCAUUGGCAACCGGCCAAUGGUGGCUGGUACCCGACUAGUCCGGCAAGAGAUAUUGUAUCCUCACAGUAAAACGAUGGGAGUAUAUAAGCAAUGUUUUCCUGCUUAUAAAGCAGUCUGGGAUAAAUCAGUGAACAUUUUCCUGGGAAAAUCAAAUUGGUCAGAGUCAUUUGGAAAUCUGGUUUCUCGAGUGGCGUUUCAGAGAAUUGGAGCUUUCCAAGCGGGACGUAACCCGACCGGUUGGAAGCAAAAAAAUUCUGGUCCGCCGCACCAAAUUUUAUGAUCUGUCUGGUCCCAGGCACAUAAGCUUGAGAUGAUGUGCAAAGGAGUGGAGAAAUGGUUGAACCAGGAUAAAUUUGGACUCAUAUGUAAUUUAUGCAGGAAAUUAUUGAAGAGCUUCCUGGGUCCGAUACAUGUUCAGAAUACGAGUUCUUAACUAGACAAAAUGACUACUCCAACUUCAUGCUAAAAGAAAGGGUAUAUUUCAAGGAAUUCAAUACGAAGAAGCUGCAGAUGGUGUAUUUAGAAAAUGUAAAAGGCUUAAGCUGUGUAUGGCUCAAGACCUUGGAUUCAGAAGACAUUUUCCUAAUGGCAAGCUAUGGAGCUCAAAGGUAUCAACACAGCUGGCUGGUGUGUUUUACAGUUUUAAGGUGUAUGAGCUACUUUGGCGUUUCAAUGACGUCUUGGCCCUGAAGCAAACCUUAUCUUUUGAGGAGCUCGAAGGAGAUAUAAAUCCCUUGUUUCAUGAUUCAUCUUUUAUGGAGAAACUUGAGAAGGAAAAUCUGGAGAAUAGAGACCUCAUGUUGCAUCGUAGUCACGGUGUGGUUGGCCAUAAUGUAACCCCAAGCGAUAAACCAAAUUCUAUAGUUUUACGGAAUCUUUCACCAAAGCUCAUCAAAGUGGAUACAGCGUCUGAAAAAGAAGCUGUACAAGCUAAACUAGCUUCUCAUACUUAAUAUAGGUGCACAGGGGUGGCUUUGACUAAGGUACAUAGAUCUUUGCUGAAUUUACUGACAGACAAAAGUUGCUGCCCUUGUCGAUCCCAACUUUGAUGCUGGAGAGUCAAAAUCGAGGGGAGGGAGAAGGAAAGACGCAGACACAUUGUCAAGUUCAAGAUAGUUGAAGAUUGAUAUGCUCCCAGUUAAUGAGUUAACUUGGCCUGAAUUUGCCGGUAGAUACAUUCUGCUUAUGUAUGUAAAGCAACCUGGAUUCUUCAGAAGUUUCAUCUUGUGAGAAUAUAAAGGUGUUCCAUUGCUUACAAGGUGAUGGUGGGAUGGUUCGCGACUCAAUAGCUGGAGUGGAUGGAAUUGAAGCAGAUGGCCUGAGGCUGGGUCCCUGAAGAGAGAAAAUGAUAUUUGGUCAAUGGAAUAUAUUGAUGAAGUUGAUGCCGCUGAAACAAUUGUUACUGCAGCAAUGCGAUUCCAGAGUGGGCAAAAGUCUUGGAACCUGCAAGAAAGCUACCCACUAAUGUUGAAACCAGGAUUAGGAAAUGUGUCUCGAGGCGUUGGAUAAAGGUCCACCGGAGUGGGUGAAAAAGAUAUUGCGACAUUCUAUUAGUAAGGAAGUAUACAAGGUGCAUCAGGGCCUACAAAGGUUUGGCACCACAUACGCACUGCUUAUGGAGACCGGCCAGAUUUGAUGCUUUUAGCUGAGCAAUAAUCUGGAGAUUUUGGAUCUCUGUAUGAAAAAGAAGUGUGAUUAUUUUCCGUGGAUCAAUCUCUCAAUGCAGUUGUACAUCCAUUUCCUGUAUUACCUUGUAAAUUUACUUUAUGGCAGAUUCUUCCAAACAGGUGCUUGAUCCUGUACAGAAAAUUAAGGAGCAUGCUGAUCCCUAAUGCUUAACUGCCGCACUAAAGAAGGAAUCAAUGAGUGGCAAGGAGAUCCCUAAAGCUCAUUGGGAUGGUGGUGUCGGCAGACUCUGUGGCAUCAACAAGAGUGAUGAAACUGUGUGGUCUGAGCAUCACACUUACUGCUUGAUACCUUUCUAUUCGAAACUGGUUAUUGUCCACAUAGGAAUUUCAGCUUUCAACUUAUACUCAGGUAGAGUUCCAUAAGGAUUCUGACUAGACUUCAACAUUCUAUCCUCAGUCCACCUUUUUCUCUUGCUCUUCCUCUAGAUUUCACUCCUGAUGGAUAGUCUCAAGUUUAUUUUUUUUAUAUGACAGUUCUAAGUUCAG